rnacentral:rRNA from 1 species
CCUACGGGAGGCAGCAGUGAGGAAUAUUGGUCAAUGGGCGGAAGCCUGAACCAGCCAAGUAGCGUGCGGGAUGAAGGCCCUACGGGUCGUAAACCGCUUUUGCACGGGGAUAACACCCUCUACUUGUGGAGGUCUGCCGGUACCGUGCGAAUAAGGGCCGGCUAAUUCCGUGCCAGCAGCCGCGGUAAUACGGAAGGCACGAGCGUUAUCCGGAUUCAUUGGGCUUAAAGGGUGCGUAGGCGGGCGUUUAAGUCAGUGGUAAAAUCGUGCGGCUCAACCGCACCACGCAAUUGAUACUGGACGGCUUGAGUACACAACAGGCAGGCGGAAUUCGUGGAGUAGCGGUGAAAUGCAUAGAUAUCACGAGGAACCCCGAUAGCGAAGGCAGCCUGCCGGGGUGCGACUGACGCUGAGGCUCGAGGGUGCGGGUAGCGAACAGGAUUAGAUACCCGAGUAGUC